rnacentral:rRNA from 1 species
GAUGAACGCUGGCGGCGUGCCUAAUACAUGCAAGUCGAGCGAACAGACGAGGAGCUUGCUCCUCUGACGUUAGCGGCGGACGGGUGAGUAACACGUGGAUAACCUACCUAUAAGACUGGGAUAACUUCGGGAAACCGGAGCUAAUACCGGAUAACAUGUUGAACCGCAUGGUUUAACAGUGAAAGACGGUCUUGCUGUCACUUAUAGAUGGAUCCGCGCCGCAUUAGCUAGUUGGUAAGGUAACGGCUUACCAAGGCAACGAUGCGUAGCCGACCUGAGAGGGUGAUCGGCCACACUGGAACUGAGACACGGUCCAGACUCCUACGGGAGGCAGCAGUAGGGAAUCUUCCGCAAUGGGCGAAAGCCUGACGGAGCAACGCCGCGUGAGUGAAGAAGGUCUUCGGAUCGUAAAACUCUGUUAUUAGGGAAGAACAAAUGUGUAAGUAACUAUGUACGUCUUGACGGUACCUAAUCAGAAAGCCACGGCUAACUACGUG